UACGUAGGUGGCAAGCGUUGUCCGGAUUACUGGGCGUAAAGAGCGCGCAGGCGGUCGUUCAAGUCGCGUGUGAAAGCCCCCGGCUCAACUGGGGAGGGUCACGCGAUACUGAUCGACUCGAAGGCAGGAGAGGGUAGUGGAAUUCCCGGUGUAGUGGUGAAAUGCGUAGAUAUCUGGAGGAAUACCGGUGGCGAAGGCGGCAUCCUGGACCGGCAUUGACGCUGAGGAGCGAAAGCCAGGGGAGCAAAGCGGG
rnacentral:rRNA from 1 species